rnacentral:rRNA from 1 species
AAGAACGCAAGCGAAAUGCGAUACGUAGUGUGAAUUGCAGAAUUCCGCGAAUCAUCGAGUCUUUGAACGCAAGUUGCGCCCGAGGCUUGUCCGAGGGCAUUUCCGCUAGAGCGUCACC